AUUGAACGCUGGCGGCAGGCCUAACACAUGCAAGUCGAACGCGUGGCGGACGGGGGAGGAAUACAUCGGAAUCUACUCUGUCGUGGGGGAUAUCGUAGGGAAACUUACGCUAAUACCGCAUACGACAGAAUGAGCCGCUGUCGGAUGAGCUGGUUGGCGGGGUAAAGGCCCACCAAGGCGACGAGCCGUAGCUGGUCUGAGAGGAUGAUCAGCCACACUGGCACUGAGACACGGUCCAGACUCCUACGGGAGGCAGCAGUGGGGAAUAUUGGACAAUGGGCGCAAGCCUGAUCCAGCCAUGCCGCGUGGGUGAAGAAGGCCUUCGGGUUGUAAAGCCCUUUUGUUGGGGAAGCGGUACCCAAAGAAUAAGCACCGGCUAACUUCGUGCCAGCAGCCGCGGUAAUUC
rnacentral:rRNA from 1 species